GACGAACCGUGCGAACGUUAUUCGGAAUCACUGGGCUUAAAGGGCGCGUAGGCGGGCGGUCAAGUCGGAGGUGAAAGCCUGCAGCUCAACUGCAGAAGUGCCCCCGAUACUGAUCAUCUCGAGGGAGGUAGGGGCGUGCGGAACUUCCGGUGGAGCGGUGAAAUGCGUAGAUAUCGGAAGGAACACCGGUGGCGAAAGCGGCGCGCUGGACCUCUUCUGACGCUGAGGCGCGAAAGCCAGGGGAGCAAACGGG
rnacentral:rRNA from 1 species